rnacentral:rRNA from 1 species
GAUGAACGCUGGCGGCGUGCCUAAUACAUGCAAGUCGAGCGACGCGGGGAAGGGUGAGUAACACGUGGAUAACCUCCUAUAAGACGGGGAUAAAUUCGGGAAAACGGAGCUAAACCGGAAAAUUUUAGAUGGAUCCGGGCUGCAUUAGCUAGUUGGUAAGGUAACGGCUUACAAAGGCAAAGAUGCAUAGCCGACCAUAAGGGGGGAUCGGCCACACGUGAACUGGGACACGGUCCAGACUCCUACGGGAGUCAGAAGUGGGGAAUCUUCCGCAAUGGGCGAAAGCCUGACGGAGAAACGCCGCGUGAGUGAUGAAGGUUUUCGGAUCGUAAAACUCUUUUAUUAGGGAAGCGGUACCUAAUCAGAAAGCCACGGCUAACUCCGUGCCAGCAGCCGCGGUAAUAC